rnacentral:rRNA from 1 species
GACGAACGCUGGCGGCGUGCUUAACACAUGCAAGUCGAACGAAGAGCGAUGGAAGCUUGCUUCUAUCAAUCUUAGUGGCGAACGGGUGAGUAACGCGUAAUCAACCUGCCCUUCAGAGGGGGACAACAGUUGGAAACGACUGCUAAUACCGCAUACGAUCCAAUCUCGGCAUCGAGGAUGGAUGAAAGGUGGCCUCUAUUUAUAAGCUAUCACUGAAGGAGGGGAUUGCGUCUGAUUAGCUAGUUGGAGGGGUAACGGCCCACCAAGGCGAUGAUCAGUAGCCGGUCUGAGAGGAUGAACGGCCACAUUGGGACUGAGACACGGCCAAGACUCCUACGGGAGGCAGCAGUGGGGAAUCUUCCGCAAUGGACGAAAGUCUGACGGAGCAACGCCGCGUGAGUGAUGACGGCCUUCGGGUUGUAAAGCUCUGUUAAUCGGGACGAAAGGUCCUCUUGCGAAUAGUUAGAGGAAUUGACGGUACCGGAAUAGAAAGCCACGGCUAACUACGUG